GAUGAACGCUGGCGGCGUGCCUAAUACAUGCAAGUCGAGCGAACGGACGAGAAGCUUGCUUCUCUGAUGUUAGCGGCGGACGGGUGAGUAACACGUGGAUAACCUACCUAUAAGACUGGGAUAACUUCGGGAAACCGGAGCUAAUACCGGAUGAUAUUUUGAACCGCAUGGUUCAAAAGUGAAAGACGGUCUUGCUGUCACUUAUAGAUGGAUCCGCGCUGCAUUAGCUAGUUGGUAAGGUAACGGCUUACCAAGGCAACGAUGCAUAGCCGACCUGAGAGAGUGAUCGGCCACACUGGAACUGAGACACGGUCCAGACUCCUACGGGAGGCAGCAGUAGGGAAUCUUCCGCAAUAGGCGAAAGCCUGACGGAGCAACGCCGCGUGAGUGAUGAAGGUCUUCGGAUCGUAAAACUCUGUUAUUAGGGAAGAACAUAUGUGUAAGUAACUGUGCACAUCUUGACGGUACCUAAUCAGAAAGCCACGGCUAACUACGUG
rnacentral:rRNA from 1 species